rnacentral:lncRNA from 1 species
GAUUGUUUCGUCCACAAACACCAACCACUUGGAGGAUUCUGAACACUCUGGCUUCUCCACGAACUCGAUUUCCAGUUUGGUACCUACAGUUAUGUUUCCAAAAAUUCAAAUCAGUAAGUAAAAAAAAACAUUAUUACGACUUUAAUCCUAACGUUAGGAUGUGCUUUAAAUGGCUCUGAUACCAUAUUAAGAAGUGGACUUUAAGUCUCACUCAACCCCAUAAAACCUGCUCAUAGAAUUGAGGUUUGCAUCCAUUUAUAUAGAAUGAAAUGUCAAUCUCUAGUCGAUGUGGAAUCUCCAAGCGAUACCAUAUUACGAAUAUAUUACAAAGUAGACUUUAAACCUAACUAAAGUCAUUGAAAGUUUAAACCCACGAAUUCUCUUCAUUUAGAGUGGAUAUAAGAUCUCUGAAAUAGUUGUCAACAAAAAAUUCUUCCUACAACAACUUAGUGACUCAUAAUAGUGAGAGAAAAGUAAACUUUUAAGACAGUUUGAUAACUAAUUUCACUGUUCAUUAAUAAGUAAAUGAUAUAAAAGAUUUGAGGGGACUCGUGGUCUUGUUGCAUAUAAAUGCUGAAGUUCCCAUUUUUAUUUACUUUGAAGUCUGAAAUAAUUAAAUUGAUAAGGUAUUGAUGAGUACCAGUGAAGAUGAUUCCGGGGCUGACUCCAGGUAUGGUGAACUUCACGGGAAUGCCACGGAAGACUUCUAUGUAAUCUUGCAAGACAGUUAGAGCGCACUGUGAGUUCCCAGUUUGGCCAAGUUUCAGUCCACCACCAGGUGGGCCACGGAUUGCUGGUAAGAUGUAGUAUGUGAGACCUGGGAAAAUGGGGUUCCCAUUUACGUCCACAACUUGCUCAACAUCUGAGAAAGCUAAGGGAAGGUUGGUGAGGAAAGCAAGGAGAGGGAGGAGGAAGGAGAGGGCAAGAACUGCUGUGGCUUUCAUGGUUGAUUCAGAGGAAGAUGGUGCUGUUGCAGAUGUUCUGCUUCUGUUGUGGUGGACUGGUUUUGGUUCUUUAUAUAGAAACAGAGCACCACGUGCUUGUUCUUAAAAGAAGAUGACAGAGAAUUUUGAUGACAGAGAAAACAAAAACAAAAAAGAAAAAGUAAAAGAAAAAGAAAAUCUGAGAAUUGAAACAUGUUUCAGCAACAAUGUAAAACGAUGUUAAGAAUGGACAUAACAUCAAAGAUGUAUAGGAAGAUAAGAAAAACAUAGUAGUGAAACAGACUUACAUGACAUUUGUAACAUGUGACUAAAUUGUUUUAAUAUUUUCAAGAAAUUUUUUCUGGGAGGUAGUUUUUUCCCCUUAAUUUAGCAACUGAAUAUUAGUCUUUUAUUAAAAUAAUUAGAUUAAAAUUAAUAAAUUCUAGUGAUAAAAAUAUAUUUUUAAGAUAACUUGAUUUUUAAUGAGGAAAUAAUAAAUGAGUAAGCAUUUAUAGGUAGAGAAAUGUAAAGAAUUUGUAGCUCAGAUGGGUGCAUACAGUAUCAAUAAUGAUAAUAUACUUGUUAGAAAAAUAAUUGUGAAGCAAUCAUUGGUAGUUUCAUCUAUAAUCUCAAAUUUUGAAACAAGUUUUUUUUAUCAGAAAACCAAAUCUUUACUCACAAAAGCAAUACUUUUUGAAAAUCACUAUUUUCAAUAUUGGUUUUAACAGAAAAAAGAAAAAAAAAUAGAAUAAUCAAUUUUACUUAUUUAUAUGAUAUGAUGAUUUAAAUAUUUGUAAACUUCAUGGCAGAAUUAGAAUUGGAUAAGUUUACUUAUCAUCUCUAAUUAUACAUAUUAUCUCUUGAAGAUAAUUAUGAUCAAUUUUUUUAUACUUUUUAUUCUUUAAUGUUAUUCAAACCAAAUUAAUUUAAAUUCAUUUAUUAUAUAAAAAUAAAAAAUAAAAAAUCAAAGAGAAUAUAUAAAAUGUCUUAAGCCACGUGCUUAGUAGGUGAGAGAUUAUUUGAUCACGUGCAAGUACAGUAAUCGGAUAAGGAUGAAGUUGGAAUGAGUUAUUUUGGAAGUUUUUUUUUUUAAAAAUCGCAUUAUUAAAAGAAAAUUACCCAAAUAAUAUAUUACUCAUCAUAUUUAUCUAAAUAAUAAUAUGAUUUACGAUUGAUGUCAGGUUUCUCAAAAACCGAAGUCUAACUUAAUUUUUCAAUUUUUUUUAAAAUUAUGAAAAAAAUACAUAAUGAUAGUGUAAACUUUAUGACAUUAUCAUAUUUAAAAUUUAUUUUUUAAUAAUUUAAAUAAAUUAUUAAAUAUAAUUAAUAUUGAUAUCUUAUCACACAUGCAAUGCAAAGCAAGUAUAAUAGUUGGAUAAAAACAAACUUGCACCGAGUUAUUUUACUAAGCCAAUAAGGUAUGCAAAAUUGAAAUAUUUAUAUUGAGGUAUUUUUAUAACUUUAUUUAUAUUAAAUUAAGGACUCAUGUUUUAACUUGAUUGUUUAUAUUAAAAUAGAAAUAAAAAUGGAUUUAUUUGGUAAUUUUAAAUUAUAGAAACAUAUUCCAUAGAUAUUUGGUAGAAAGAACAAGAAAUUGACUUUGAAUUUUUAUUUUACAUCUUACACUCUUAGCAAUUCAAUGAAAUGCGUGUCACAAAAGAGAGCACACCCUUUUUUUAACAAUUAUAAAAGUUAUAAAAUAAUAAUAAUAGAGACAUUAGUGAUAAAUAAUUAAUGAGCUUUUGAUAAACACUUUUAUUUAUUUGUAGAUUAAAGUUCUCGAUCUUCACGAGGCACACAAUAUUAAAUUAUAAUAUUAAAGCACGUGCCGAGGAAUAUUUUAUGCUUCCCGUGGAACACGCACGACCUUCCUUCUAUAUUUUUAAAAGAGGGUUAAGAUAUUGUUUCUCUCUAAUAAAAUAUAUGUUAAACUAUAAUAUUAAAAUCCGGUAUUGAAAUGAUAAAUAUUUGAAAAUUAAAAAACCAGAAAAUCAUAAAUUAUUUAUCUGAAAUUUAAAAAGAUAAAUUAAUUAAAAUAUAAGUCUAAGAAUCCACCCCAAAAGAAACAAUAUGACCUCUCACCUUUCUGUUCACUACUUUGUCUUCUUUUUCACAAAUUUGGCAACCGCACCUUAUGCAAUUUGCAAUACCACCACUACAAAUUUCUUCUUUUCGUUAUUUUUCACUUGGCGCGUAUUUUGAAUUUUAAAAUGUCAAUCGCGAUGAGUUUCUAAGAAUAUAUAGGUUAUGAGAAAUAGAGACCCAUUCAUUUCUCAUUUUUUCUUUUCAUUUACUGAAGAAUAAGUGAUUCUUUUAUCAUUUUUUUUUUAUCCAUAUCAUACCUGUUCAGACGUGAUGCAGUUUAUAAGGUUUUUUUUUUAUUAUCAAAGUUGUUUGCUUUUAUCAUAUUUUUGGUGUCCCAAUAAUGCUUUUAAGAAAUAUUGAUCAAGCUAAUGGACUAUGUAAUGGUACAAGAUUUCAAGUUAAUGAGUUGGGGAAGAAUUUUAUCGAUUGUACAGUGAUUACAGGCAAAAACAUUGAUCAUAAAAUAUUCAUUCUUAGAACGAACUUGAUUCCUUCAGAUUUAGGACUGUCUUUCAAGUUUCAAAAAAGACAAUUAUCGAUAUCUUGUGCUUUGCAAUGACUAUAAAUAAAAACUAAGGUCAAACACUUUCCGAAGGUCUACUUUUUUUUCUUGGCCAAUGUUAUAAGCCAACAAUCUACAAAUAAUUUGUUUUUUAAUAAUUGUUUCUUAUUUGAAUUUGCAGGGUAAUAUAAUUGUUCUGAUCAUAUUUUUGCUUCUACUGCAAAAUUGUAAUAAAUAUAAUAUCUUAUCAAAAUCUUCUAUUCCUAUCUUUGCAUUUGGACAAAAUAAUACUUCUACUUUCUGUUUUUUUUUUCUCUAAGAUUUAAAACAUAUCUUUUAUAUAUUCCUCCUAUCAAAUUUACAUUUAAGUUAUGUGUAGCGGUGAUUGAAAUAUAUUGACAUUAUAACCCAAUAUUAUUCAACAACAAUUAGAGGUUAGUAUCAAAUAUUCAACAUCACUAUACCAUUUCUUACAUAUAGUAACAUAUUAUUUUCUCACAACACUCGUGCAUUAUUUUGUUUCUAUAUUUUGCUUUGUUUUCUUUUCUUCUGUUUUCACUUUCUCAUGUUUCAUAUACUGUGCAAUGCCACCAAGUGUUUGAUAAAUGCUUGAAUGAUGGUGACUGGUUCUUUCUCUAUUUGUUUAGGUUAUAUAUGGUUUUAUGAAUUGAUUACUAGACACUCAUUUAUUAAUUAAUAUAUGCGUAGCAUGCUUGUUGGUUGGGGUGUGACUGUGAGAGGGAAGGUGAGUGUGGGUUAUGACUUACCUUUCCGUUUCCUUGACAUAAUUGGGAGGUUACUUGCCACAAUUAAUUGUCAUCAAAUGGAAGUUUCUUACUACAACUAAUUGUCACCAAAGGGAGGUUAAUUACCAUUAAUUGUAUUUAUUAUUGUUGUCUCCUAGAACCACUAUAUAUAGUGGUUUCCUUCCAGCAAUAUAACAAACAACAACACAUACUUGCUUCCUCUUUAUUUUCCUAUACUCUCUAUUUCUGCUCUUGGGUGUAAGUGUUUAACCCAUAUAGAGAGAAUUUGUUUUGGGGCUAUUUAUCUAUUAGCCUGAGAGGGAUUCAUGGUACUCCCAGUACCAUUAUAGUGGAAGUUUUGGCUCUUUCGCCGAUGGUUUUUUAUCUUUAUUUAAAGGGGUUUUCCACCUAAAAAAUUUUGGUAUCAUUCUCAUUUUCUUUGUUACUCUAAUUUCUCAUAAUUUGGUUGAAAUUAUUACGCUUCUGCACAUGAUAUCCCUACAGUGAGAGAGAAUGCAGAAGGAUGGAAUAGUGUUGCGACGCUUUUGAAUAUCUUGAAGCUUUUUUAAUGGUUAAAGGUUUUAUUAACAUGAUUUUCUACUAAGAUUUACUAUUUUGGUUAAAUGUUUUAUUCAUUUUUUAAUGACAAUUUCAAUUUCAAUAAAAGCAUAGAUUGGAAAAACAACUCAUCAGGACUAUAAGGUACUGCCUCAAGCAGAGGAUUCCAGUGUGAAAUCGACUUGUAAUGGUGAAGAGGUAAAUCUUCAAGAGACUUUUGAAAAAUCUCAGCAAAUUACAAGUUAACGUAAUCAUAUAUUGCUUGGUAUCACGAUGCAACUUUAUGUAACUUUUUCUGUCCAAUCAAUUAUUAAGAUGGAAGAAGAUGAAGAUGUAGAGGUUAAACAAAAGGAAUGUGAUGAUGCAAAGUACAAUGUCGAUGAAGAACCAAUCAACCAACAUUUUAAGCAGCUAGAGUUAUUUCAGCUGCAAAACGAGAACGUCCAAGUAACUUGUGUCAGAAUAAUAUUAAAUAAUCAUACUUACAACAUGUAUAAUUCUAAUACAGUACCAUAUAAACAUGCAAUUAGAGCUAGAUUGAAUGGUUUGACACAAGAGUUUUCCUAGGAUUGCUUUCGUAAUGCACUAUGCAUAAGAUAAAGUAACCAAUUUGAUGUUGACAAUCCUUAGGAAUUGAAAAUGAUGGUUCAUCAAACAAAAAUAGGAAUGCAGGUUCUGCAACAUAAUUCACCUACGCAUUUUACCUAUGACCAAUCACUGACCAAUUAAAAGGUUGUCUCCAUUUUAAAAUUACUAUGUAAAAGCCUAAGGGGGCUCAAUGAUUCAUUCCCACAAGUAUGAACAUUUCAAUUCUGUUUUUUAUUUUACCUAAUCUCAAUUUUGUGCACAAUAUCUUGUAGUUUCUUGAUUCUUUCUUUCUGAAGGAUAUUUUUAUCCAUUAUUAAAAACCAAUUUCUUUUGAGACCUUUAUAUUAUUAUAAGAAAAUUUGGUCUCAUAUAAAAAAUUGUGUUUAGAUAAAUCUAAAAUCAAACUCUAGUUUUUAUUUUUCAAGAGUAUUUAUUUGAUCUUUAGUCUGGAACCAAAUUUUUUUCACAUGCAACUAGGUGGGGUAGGUACUUAAUUGAAGGACAAUAAUGUUAAUUAAACCAUGGCCUUAACAUGGAAUGUGAAAGAAGGUCCAAGACGACUCAAAUGUUCACUCACCUUCAAACCUCGGUCCUUGGUCUCUUACCUCAGGUUCAUCAAUCAUCAUCCAACAUUUCAUGUUUUCUCAAUAAUUAAUGCUACACAUUAUUUUCAUGGUUUUUUUUAGAGUUUUGGUUACAUGAGUUUUAUGCAUUAUGUCCACAUUGUGUUGAAGAUGAAGAUGAAAGCUUUCAUGUAUCAAAUUCACAUGAAGCCGGAAGCUGUGUGCUUUCUGGGUUCUGGGUUUGGGUUUAGAUUAAGUUGUUUAGAAUCUUUGUUAAGAUUAGUCCUUGAAGCCUACACAAAGCUUGAUUAAAUCUAUUUUAAGAAACUAAGUGUUGUUCCAAGUAAAGGGAAAACAACCGAUUGAUUUGUCGAAAUAAUCGGUUGUUUGUCAAUUAGCUCACUGGAAGUUUUGAAACUGCUUGACUCAUUCAACCGGUUAAAUCGUGGUCUCACCCGGUUAAAUAUGUGUUUUCAUAACAGUUUUUUGAAAACUUGUUUUAACUGAUUCAGUUGUUCAAAUCUGCCUUAAGCAAUUGCUUUUCAAAGGCUAUAAAUAAAGGCUUUCAUUAAAAUCAAAAGAUACAACAAAUACAACAAGUAUUGAUUCAGAUUUUAGAAAGAGAUUUGGUGUUUGAAAGUGCUUACAAAAAGUGCAAGAGUGCUUUCAAGCUUUGAUGUGGUGACAAGUGUUGAUCAUAGGAUCUCUGGUUCUGUAAUUCCAGGUGUUUUCUAUCCUUGCUUAGUGUAUUGUAAUUGUACUUCUUUUACAUACUUUUGUGUUUGAAAUUCUAUAAAGACAAAGGUUGUUCUGUCUUGAGGUGUGAAGUUUUGCAAAGAGGGUGAGUAGGCUUUGUGGGAUUCAAAGUCACCUCUUUGUGGUGUGUGAUUGUAAUCUGUGUUGAUUACUAGUGGAAACUUAGAGGUUUGUCUGAGAACUGGAUGUAGCUCAGGGAUUGAGUGAACCAGUAGAAACCUUGUGUGUAAAUCUCUCUUUCUCUCAAACUGUUUGAUAUUUUGCUGCUAUAAACAACCGAUUAAAACACAAUUUUAACCGGUUAAAAUUCUGAUAUCUAUUUCUUUUGGAUUGUUUGGUUGCCUUCCUUAAGUGCUUAUCUGAGUUGUUUGUUAAAUAUUCAUUCUAGACCAAGUAUUUGCGAAAAUCUUUGAUAAACAAUUCACCCCUCCUCUUGUUUAAGCCAUCAAUUCUUACACAUUGGAGGAGUUGAAGAAGACUAUGAAAGGAGUAGAAGGGUCCAUGAUUGAAUGUGGUAACAACAAUAGAAAUUGUUCAAUCAUGGUUACUAUUUCUGCUAAUGUUGCAUUCUUUGGUAUUCAAUGGGUGCCUCAACCAGGUUUGGUGACGCAAAUUUUAAAGGUGUUUUGCAAUCACAAAGCAUAGAUUUUGGCUACAAAUGUAGAAAUUGAUAUUGGCAAUCACAGUUUUGGUGCAAAAUAAUGGAAAGUGUGUGGUUGAAAAUAUUAAAAGAGAAAUUAUGAGUUUGUAGGAUCAAAACUCUUGCGAUAGAUUAUAUGGUGUUUGAUUUUGGUACCAUGUCACAGAAGAAGCUAACUUGAUAUAGAUCAUGAUUAGACAUUAGAAACUAAACUCUAACCUGUAUCAAUUUCAAAAAACCUGCAUCUCACUUGUCACUUAUAUGGUUUAAUUAGAUCGUAUUCAUAUAAUUAUAAAAGAAUUUAGUAUGAGAUUUGGAUGAAGAGAAAGGAAGGAAGAAAGUAGAAACUAGAGCUGAAAACUUUUACUGAGAUACAAUAUGAAUAGGUUAGGCCAAUUGCAUAAUUGGUGUAUUAAUUGGUUUUAUUUGUCUUACGCUAAUCUUUUUUUCUUUUAUGUGAUGGGCAACGAAGAAUACUGAUGGAAGAGAGUCAUCUCGUGCAGAAAUGUGCAUCAUGAUAAGCCUAAGAGUGAAACAAAUUAUUGUAUGUAAUCUCUAUCUUUAUCUUCCUCACCCUCAAUAGUUAUUCCUCAAAUAUUAAAUUUUGAAUAUUUGGUGCUUAACUGCUAUAUUUAUAUAAUGUAAAUUAAUUUAAUAUUUAAUAACGUCUACUACUAAAACUUUAGACAAACUUCUGUAAAUGGUACAGAUUGAAGACAUGUAUGAAUACUUCUUAACAUUUGUGAACUGUAACAAAUGUAUAUAUUUUUGGUGGAACUGAAGAUUAUAAUUAUAUCAUUAUGGAGUGUUGGUUGUUUGAUGCUGCAAAAUCUGUAUUAAAUUUGAUGUGGUAGAAAUAAUGUAGAAUGACUUGUUUGACAUAAAUAACAGUUGGGGCCAUCAAAGCCUCUUCAAUUGUAAUAUUGCUACUAGGAAGUUGAUCUUUCAAUGAAAGACCAUUCUUUUUUUGUGUGUGGAAAAUUGGGAGUAUGUGUUGGCCUUCUAUCUUUGUAAAUGUGCUCUUCACUGUUGUGAGGUUUUUACAACACACCCUUAAUGGAACAAAAAAUCCAUCUAUAAGUAACACAUUAAUGUCUCAUGCAUGAAUUAUUAUGUCCUUCAGAUACAAAUUUAUAGGGGCUACAAUUAUCUCAUUGCUUUAACCACAAAAUUUUCAUUUCAUCCAUCAGAAUGCAAACCACACUUACCUUGGACAACUUCAUACCAUAGAGUUAGUCUGUAGAGAAAAAUGCUAAAGUCACUUAGCUGCUAAAACAAUAUUUUAAUCUAGCAAAUCUCCCAACUAACAAGGUGACCUCUACUUAAUCCAUUUGAAAACAAUAUAUCUUAAGUUUUUAUAGUAAACAAUUGGUGCACGUAUGAUAGAAUUUUAACUAUUGCAAUCAUUUUAAAAACCAUAUCUAUCAAUUUUUUUGAGAUUUUUUUCAAAUUAAACUCAAAUUUUAAAAGGCAUAUAUAUGAGUAUAUGGGUAAAUCAUAGUUAAUAUCUGUGGUUGAUGAAAUUUUAUAAAUAUUUUUUCUAUUCUUAUUUAUGGCUAUCAAAUAUUAGAGGUGACAAAGUGAGGCGGACUGUGCGAAUUGGCCUGUGGCCCCCUGAAAAAAAUGUGGGCGGGUUGCUUAUUUCAACUCGCUGACUCACUUAGGUCCGCCCUACAUAACUCGCAGUCCGCACGGGCCAAGUGGGAGCGGGUGCGGGUUGACCCGCAUAACUUUAAAAUGUAGAAUUUUUUUUCUGCAUCGCCAUAUUUUCUUCAUGUAGCCUCAUAUUUCACAUUCCAAAAUUUUUAAUAACAUCUUACUAUGCAUGUCUCGUGAAAAUAAUAUUAUUAGACCAUUUACCUAAUUCAUCUAAAUAAAUAAAAAAUUAUUUAAAAAAAUAUUUCUUAUGCGGACUAGCUCGUAGGCCAACCCUUAUACGAAACAAACUAGAAAUCUUUGAAUGCAUGUUUUCAUCUGCUGAGCUCAAUGAAUUUCAAGAAAUAUCUGAAAAAUAUUGGGUUGAAAAGAGAAGACUACUAUUUUUUAAAACAUGUUUGGAAGGGUUUGUUGUCUUGCCUUGCUUGGGGUUUUAUGGCUCUAUCCUGAGAAUUCAGCACUGAGCGGGGGAAACUGAAGUCAAGGCUGAAGGAGCAUGAAGAAGCAUUGAAGGAUUUCAUUGGUAAGGGAAGGAUGAGAAAGCUCAGAAGCUGUGGUUGAGGCUGAAGAAUGAGGUUGCAACUGAACUAAAGGAGAGACGUUUUGAUGUUGAAUAAGUGUAUGCUUUAUAGUGAAUGGUUGUCAAUGUCAUUUCCAUGAUACAUGAACAGAUUGUGAGACUCUAGAUGUAGUAGACACUAAAAAUCUUAUGUAUGCUAGAUGAUAAAUAAAAGUGACAAUUUAUUGACAAGACAUGUCUAAAUUCACUUUCAAACAUUGAAAAUCCAUAGUGUUGUGUUGAUAGAUUUUUAUUACUAGUUUGCUUAUAGAAUAAAAACAUCAAAACAUAAAUUAUUAAAUUCAUGUUACAAUCCAAACCUAAGUAAUCUAUAUAAUUUUGUAAUCAAACAAUUUACUAAAUUUUUUAGUAACAUUUUUAUAAUGUUACUUUUUUUUUAUUAAAAAAUAUUAGUAACAUUUUUUAAAUGUGACUUCUUAAAUUUAGAGUGUAGGGAUUAGUAACAUUUUUAUAAUGUUACUCUCUUUCCAAAAAAAUAUUACUAAAAAAAAUUAAUAACAUUUUUAAAAUGUUAUUUAUUUAUUAAAAAAAGUUACUAACCUUUUCAUAAUAUUAAUUUUUUUUAUUAAAAAGUAUUACUAAAAAGAUUGAAUAACAUUUUUAAAAUGACAUAUUUUAUUAAAAAAAUUACUAAAAAUAAUUAGUAACAUUUUUAUAAUGUCACUUUAAUAUUAAAAAAAGUUAAUAAAGAUUUAUAGUAACAUUUUUAUAAUAUUUUUUUUUUUAAAAUUACUCAAACAAUUUAGUAACAUUUUAAAAAUGUUAUUUUUUUAUUAAAUAAAUAUUACUAAAAAUAUUUAAUGACAUUUUUAUAAAUGUAUUUAUUCAAAUAUAAAAGUAUUACUAAAAGUAUUUAGUUAUAUAAAAUAUUUGUUACAUUGAAUAAAAUUACUAAAUCAUAUUAGUAAUUUUUUUAUAUUUAAUAACAUUUUCUUUAUUUAAUAACAUUUUUUUAAUGUUACUAAUUAUCAUAUCUAGUAUUACCAUAACUUUACAAAAAGAAAUCAAUUUAAUCCUUUAUCAUAUUAAAUAGAUUCUCUACCAAAAAUGUUUUCCUGCCGAUUUAUAAUUAAUUUUGUUAAUAAUAUAAAAUAGUAAUAGUUAAAAACGGAUAGAAAAAAAGUUCUUAUAUUUUUCUCUAGACAUAAUUACAUUUUUAAUCAUCAUUAUAAUUAGAAAGAUAAGAAAAACCUCCUCUAUUCAAACAACCUUUUCUUUUUUUUUCUUAACCUCCAAAAUCUAUAUAUAUAUAUAUAUAUAUAUAUAUAUAUACACACUCAUUUUUAACAUUUUUUUUAAAUCGUUUGGUCAUAUUGUGUUUAUAAAAUCAAUCUUGAAAGGUUUAUAAAGUUAAAAAUGUGUAAUUAAGUUUUGAGUUCCAUUUAAAUUCAAGAACUACCAAAAAGAAAUCCAGGUAUUAUUAAUUUAAAUUUAAAGAUGUCAUAUUAAGGAAACUUCAUAGUCUUUGUUUACUUCGACUAUUUCAACUCCAAGAAAUUGGAUAUUUCAAAAUUCUCUAGAUUCAAACUACGGACUUAAUAACCUUAUCAGCUUCAAAAACCUUUACGAACACUAAAUCGAAGGCUUCAUGCUCAGUGAGAUUCAACCGUCUUCCAUCCUCACCGUUCUCUGCAUCAAACCUCCCAAUAUCCAAACAAGUUGGUGAACCAGUGAUGCAGAACACAAGCUUGUACCCAAAAUGGUAGUUCUCAAUAUGAAAUCUAGUCGAUAUGGGAUCUCCAACCCACCCCGCGUGCAAGGGACAACAUGUUAUGGGUGGGGUUUUUUCUUCCUGCACCCCCACGUUUUUCUUUCUGCACCCCACAAUUCUAAAUAUUCCUAAAGUACCCUUGAUCUAUAAUUUGAAAAGGGCACUCUCCUGGACUUGCAUUGUAGCAGUUCAUCUUCAUCACUGAAAUAUCAACUCCUGGACCUAUACUGGGAUUUUACCACACCGCAGGUUUAGCAUUCAGUUCUUAUAGAUAAAACAUUGCAGUUAUACAUCUUUCCCAUUUUACUUAUGAUGUAUUUCUUAUUCAUCUAUGUAAUUUAACUAUUUUUCAAAUGCAGAUUCUGACAAUGGAGUAUGUUCCGGGGAUUAAAAUAAAUAAAACACAAGCUUUAAAUGAACUUGGUAUUGAUCGCAAAAGGUUAAUCUCAUAUGAAUUUCUUCAAGCCAAGUUACUAUUGACAUUUUCCCUUCUACUUCUGUGAAUUUUAGGAAUUGAUGAUGGCUUUUGAAAUUCAAAAAUAACAUAAUGUAUACUUUAUCUUCUACAGGUUAGGGCGAUAUGCAGGGGAUUCUUAUUUGGAGCAGAUUUUUAUCACAUGGUUUCUUCCAUGCUGACUCUUCUUGUUCUUAGAAUUGUUGAGUUGUCUCAUGACUUAUCUUGUUUGAAUAAGGGAGAAGAGAUUGGCUGGAAAUACUUAUCUCCCAUGUUGGAUUCCAAGUACACACUUUGCAUGCUAUAUACUUAACUUUUGAUUUAAUCAUAUCAUAUUGCAUAAAAUAAGAGAACAAGUAAGAACUUGCACAAUAGAAGGGUGGCAAAGAAGCUUUGCAUAAAAUAUUGUUACAUUCCCUUUUCAGCUCAAAUAGAAACUGAUUUGAUCUUUGGCUGUUUUUUGUACUGCACUUAGCAUUGGAAAACAUUAUGAUAAUUGUGAAGUUUGAAAAAGAUUUAUAAACAGGGAGUUCUAAUAAUUUGUUUUGCCAGUUAACAUCAAAUGUUCAUAUUAUUUCAACUAAUUUAUAUGGAUUUGACGAGUAGGGGAUUCAAAAAUUUAGAACUUUCCCAGAUCCAAAAAUUUGGAACUUUCCCAGAUUCAAAAAUUCGGAACCUUCCCAGAACUAUAAAUCCAGGAUUUUACCGCAAGCAUAAACUCGAGAUUCUACCGGAUUCUAUGAUCUAGAAUGCAAGAAAACACUUACAGAAACAAAAAUCCAUAAAAAAAUCGGAUGUGCAGAUCCGAAAGCAAAGAAAUUAACUUAUCUUGAUUAAAAACACUCUAUAUCAGCAACAAAAAAUUCUGAGAUUGUAAGGAUAGCGAUUUGUAGGUGCGACUGCUGCUAGAAAAUGAAACCCACGGCUGUGCACUGAGAGAAUCAUUGCCUGUGCCUCUUUAGGGUUUUUUUAGGUGAAGGGUAUUUUUAGAAUUUUAAAAACUAUUAAGGACGAUUUAGUCUUUGCAUAAGAGUGUGGGGGUGCAGGAAGCAAUUGUCUAUGGGUGGUCCAAUAACGGCCCGAUAGCGGGUGGCAUGAUAGGUCCAACAAACGUUUGUUAUGAUAGACUUUAAAUGACUCUGAUAUCAUAUUACGAAGUGAACUUUAAACCUAACUCAACCCCAUAAAACCGGCUCAUGAAGUGGAAUUUGCACCCACUUAUAUAAAAUGAAAUGAUAUAAUAUCUAGUUGAUGUAGGAUCUUUAACAUACUCCCACACGCAUUUGUUCUGGAUUUCUUCGUCCUCACUCAUGUUUCAGACAUACAUAAGACACUGACAAUAAGACACUGACACUAAAACACCUAUAAUUUUUAAAAUUUAAACAUAAAAUAUAAAUUUAUAUAUUAUAUUAUUAUGAAUUAUAUAAAUUUCCUAGUACAAAAUUUAUAUCAACAAGUAUACGCUAAGAUUUUUUUUUAUGAUUGAUUAAAAGAAAUUUUUUUCUGACACAGACUGCAUGAAAAGAAAAACGUAUCCGAGCUUCGUAUUAGUAAUAGAACAACAUAGUUUUGAAGAAAAUUUCUGACUACAAUUUAGAGACUCCGAAAUAGUGAGAGAAAAGUAAACUUUUAAGACAGUUUGAUAACUAAUUUCACUGUUGAUUAACUAAACAAUAUAAAAGAUUUGAUUGAACCCAAAAAUGGACUCGUAGUUUUGUUGCAUGUAUAAGCUUAAGUUUCCAUUUUUAUAUACUUUGAAGUCUGAAAUAAUUAAGUUGAUAAAGUAAUGAUGAGUACCAGUGAAGAUGAUUCCAGGGCUGACUCCAGGUAUGGUGAAUGCCACGGAAGAGAUUUGAGUAAUCUUGCAACACAGUUAGAGCACACUUUGAGUUCCCAGUUUGGGCAAGUUUCAAUCCACCACCACUUGGGCCAAAGAUUGCUGGAAAGAUGUAGUAUGUGAAACCUCUGAAAAUGGGGUUCCCAUUUGUGUCCACAAUUGGCUGAACAUUUGAGAAAGCUAAGGGAAGGUUGGUGAGGAAAGCGAGGAGAAGGAGGAGGAAGAAGAGGGCAAGAACUGCUGUGGGUUUCAUGGUUGAUUUAGUGGAUGAUGGUGCUGUUGCAGAUGUUCUGCUUCUGUUUUGGUUUUGGUUCUUUAUAUAGAUACAAAGAUGCUGCUAUAGCACCAAGUGUUUGUGUUGGAAUGAGUUAUUUUGAUAGUUUUUUCUUAAAUAGCAUUAUUAAAAGAAAAUUAUCUAAAUAGUAUAUUACUCAUCAUAUUUAUCUAAAUAAUAAUAUGAUUUACUAUUGAUGUCAGGUUUCUCAAAAAAAUUGAAGUCUAACUUAAUUUUUUCAAUUUUUAAAAAAAAAAUUAUGAAAACAUUAAAAUUGUAAUGAUAAUAUAAUUAAAUUUUAUGACAUUAUUAUAUUUAAAAUUUAUUUUUUAAUAAUUUAAAUAAUUUAUUAAAUAUAAUUAAUAUUGAUCUCUUGUUUAAAAAUAUGAUUUUUUAUCAGUAAGAAAUAAUAAAUAAAUAUGGAUCACUUCAGAAGUGAUCCAACCCUUAUACAAAAAUAAAAAGAAAAAUAAGAUAAACCCUUAUGUCCUAACCUAAACCAAUUUUUCAACAAAAGCUAUCGACUAAUUCAAAACUCAAGUAUAUCACUUACACAGGAACCCAUCCUUGACAAUCGUUAGAGUAUACCAACACAUCAAAAUUUAAAAAAAAAAACAUAAAACAAAAACAAACUGUGAAACAUAAAUUUCCAAUAAUUAGAGGAACUUAAAAGACCUCUCUUUACAACUAACACAACAAUGGUGUACCCCCACUACUUAAAAAAAACAAAGAUAAUCCUUUUCACAUCACAAAAGCUCCUCCUUAUUGUCACUUAAUUCAAAGACCAAGACAGAACCUCUAAACGAAGUUUAAGACCAAUCUGCAAAGCACUCAACUUCCUUCUUCUUAAAAAGAAGUUAGAGAGAUAACGCAAGGAAAAAUAAACAAAUUUAAUUCACAGUUCUCAUACAUACCAAAUGUUCUAAACACCAAUCAAAAUAAGAGAAUUCUACCUUUUUCUUUACUGUUAACAAAGCCUGGUUUUUUCUUUGAGCCACAGUAAACACCUCUAUAUGGUCAACUCUCCCAUUAUUAAAAACACACCUAUUCUGAUGAUUCCAAAUUUCACCUAUAAUUUCAAUCCUCACCACUCUCCAAAUUAUGACAAUUUGGCCAUUAACAUUUAGAGGGCUGAACAAGAUGAAGUGUACCUUUGCAUCAUAGUGGUUUACCGAUAAACAACUCAAUCAAGACAAGCACAAACCCCAAAUUUUCUACCCAAUUUUACACUUAAAAAAAUAAAUGACAAAGAAUCUCCUCUUUCUCACCACACAACCCACACAAGCAACUUACCUUUGAGACUCCUUUUCUCAUAAGAUUAUCCUUUGUUGUUAUGCUAUUAUUCAACACCUUCCAAGCAGUGAUUUGUGCAGAGGGAAGAACUUUACCUUCCAGAACUUUUCAAAUUGAGCCCUAUCUUCACCUUCCACCACUACUGCAAGUAUACUAAUUAGAUAAAAACAAAGUUGACUGAGUUAUUUUGAUAUAAUAACUACACGAAGAGAGUAUACAAAAUUGAAAUUUUUAUAUUGAGGUAUUUUUAUGAUUUUAUUUAUUUUAAAGUUAAAUAUAUUUUUUAUGCAUAAUUAAUUUUUUACUUUUGUUCGAACUUUAGACCAUUCAGAUAUUUAUAGUAUGAAAAUAAUACGAAUAGGUUUUAUAUGUAAAAUAAUUGUUAUUUUUUUCAAAAAUAUUGUUAGUUUUUUUUCGAAAUUCGAUGUUGUUUUGAUUGAAGAUUAAUAUUUAAUAUAAUUAUUUUAAAUAAAUUGAUAAAGUAGAAAUUUAAAUUGAAUCAGUUUUAUAUAAAGAAAUUACGUAUUUCAAUCAGUUUUAUACUAUAAACAUAUUUGUAGUCUAAAGUUUAGACUAAAUAAAAAAUCAAUUUGGUAGGUACACAAUCUUAAAUUAUAAUAUUAAAGCUCGUGCCGAGGAAUAUUUUAUGUUUCCCGUGUAACAGGACCUUCUAUAUAUUUAAAAUAGGGUCAAGAUAUUGUUUCUCUCUAAUAAAAUAUUAUGUUAAACUGCAUAAUAAAAUCCCAUAUUAAAAUGAUAAAAAUAUUUGAAAAUUAAAAAACCAGAAAGUCAUAAAUUAUUUAUCUGAAAUUUAAAAAGACAAAUUAAUUAAAAUAUAACUCUAAUAUCUAAUAUUCAACAUUAUCGUAACUUCACAAAAAUAAAUCAAUUUAAUCCUUUAUCAUAUAAAUUAGAUUUUCUACCAAAAUGUUUUCCUACCGAUUUAUUAUUAAUUUUGUUAAUAAUUUCAAAUGUUAAUAAUUAAAAACAUAUAGAAAAAAAAUUCUGAAUAUUAUAACAUGAAAUCAUUCAUGUAGAGGGAGGCAUCUAUUUCGUUUGUUGGGCUUGGUCCCUUAUUUUUUUUCCUAGUUGGUUAGGUUAUUUGUUUUUGCACCUCGAAAUUUUCAUACGCACUCCUAAAAAAUUUUAUAUUCCAAAUUUACCCUUUUGGUAAUAUAUAUAUAUAUAUAUAUAUAUAUAUAUAUAUAUAUUAGUGGAGGGCAUUUUUUGUUUUGGUAUUUUCUUGUUAUGACUUCUUUGAUGUUUUCACAUACUUCAUGGUUGUGGUAUACUUGGUGGUGUUAUUGGGAAGUGUAGAGUGCAUUGAGUUACUAGGGAAGUGAAGAUAAUAUUGAGAGGGAAUGUAAGUUUCUCUUUUGUUUUGCUGAUUUUUUUUCUCUCUAGUUAAUGAUUUUGAAUUUAACUUCUCAAUCCGAAGAUUUCUUGAAUUACAUCUGGAGAAUAUAUUUAUAUAUAUAUAUAUAUAUAUUUAUUGUCCAAUUCGAAAGUGAAAAUAUUUUUUUGGAUUGUAUAAUUUAAGAGUCAAAUUUUGUUUAUGUAUUGCACAAUCUGAAUACUAUAUUGAAUUAUGGAUUGUGUAAUUUAUAAGUUAAAUUUGGCUUCACAAUUGCACAAUCCAGAAUAAAAAUUUAAUCUUUGAGUUAUACGUUUUGCAAUACAAUCUAGAAGAACAAAUAUAUUAUAGAUUUUAUAAUCUGAAAUAUAAAUUUUACUUUUUGAUUACACAAUAUAGAAGUCUCAGUUGUUCAAUUUCUUAAAGUUUUUGUAUGUCCAUACUUAUGUUGUGUAAUAUAAGCACAUUAUUACAUUGUUUUGUGAGUACUCUUACGAUUACUUUUAUGGUGAGUGUUAAAAUGUCAGAUAAAGUGGAUAAGUUGUUUCACAUGGAUAAGCUUGACAAUUUGUUGUAAUAGAAGAUGCAUUGGUUAGAGGAGAUUGCAUUCAACCUUUUACAAUAAAUGAGUAAGUAAAAUUUUAUAUCAUUUGUGUAAAUAUGAUACAUGACAUAUGCUUAUGUUGUAAUAUAUUUGGUAUGUGAAAUGACUUAUUUGAAUUGGUGUGUAAAGUACCAUUUCGACUUGGUUUUGUAAUUAUCAUUUUGCAGUAUGAAAUAUCAAAUGGAAAAUUAAGAAAAAAAAUACAUGUGUGUUGUUAGUGAAAGAGGUGGAAGUAUAGGAGAUACAAAAACAAUUUACUAGUCAUUGUACCUAGUAUAAGAAAAUAUGAUUGUUCUUUUAAAUUGCAAGGUAAACAAAUUUGCAAUGGAGGAGGGCAGGUUUUGAAGACAAUAUGUGGGAGUCAUAAUCAUGAAUUGGUUGAUUCAUGAACUGGUUGGUUUGUUCAAAUUCUUAUGUAUCGAGUUGACAUUUAAAUAUAAUAUUAUGUUCUUGAUUGGUAAUUGGUAUUGUCAUUUUAUUUGUAAUGCUAGUUUAUCAUGAUUUUGAUUCUUAAAUUUGACUGAAAAGUACCUCUAAGUUUCUGACCUAAAUGAUAAUACUUAACAUAUUUGAAUGCUAGAAAGAAAUUUAAAAUGUUAAUUGCUAUCAACAUCUAAUCGUAAGAAUAAGGAGUUUUUAUAAAUAGGCGAAUAAUCGAUAUUUAGGAGACUAUUUUAAUAAUUUUAUAUGCGAGAAAACGAUAUGAAUGAAUUUUAUAUGGACAUCAAUAUCAAUCAAAUGAUAGAAUAUUAUUAUGCUUUUCAAAAUACAAAAGAGUGAGAAGGAUGAACCCCAAUGCCAAUUUUCCCAAUUGAAUAAACAACUUUUUACUUUGCUUUAUUUACAAUUCUUGCAAUCAUACACAACAAACAUCCUACAAACUUUUACUUAUUGUUUUCUAUUUAGUGAAUCUUAUACUUGAUAAUUCAAGUGUUCCUUAUGUGUUCGAUAUCUGUCCUUAGGGACAAAUUAUUACUCCUAACACGAUACACUUGCCGUAAAAUAAUCAUCACACUUUAAAUUUUAGUUUGUAUUAAAGAUUGCAAGGGUUUGUCUCUAAAUAUGUUUUGAUGAACAUUGUUGAAGAGUUUGAUCAUGUUAGACGUGUUGGUAUUGAUAGUGAAUGUCAUUGAGAUGUACUCAUGGUUUACCUUAUGCAUACGAAUUAGUGAAAUAUGACAUCGGUAGCAUACUAUUGAAUAUAGUGCAUGUUAUGUGGAUCAGAUUUAACUUUUUUUAUAGGUCAUCAUGCGAUUCAUCGUCCAGGUUAUCUAAUCAGUAGAAAUUGGACAUUUUUUAUAAUUGUUUUAAGGAAGUUGAAAUUGCAGGUGAAGUGACAAUUAAAGCAUUCCCAAAUCCAUAAUUGCAUUCUGGAUUUCACAAUUGAGAUUGUAUUUAAAUUUUGACAAAUACAUUCCAAAUUAUACAAUCUAGAACAUAAUUUUAGAUCAAAAAAUGACUUUCAAACUGUACAAUCCAAAAUUUUGGAUUAUGCAAUUAAAAAAUUCUCAAAAGAGACAUUCUGGAAUGAAAUUAAAUAACAACACUGAAUUGUAGUUUUAAAGAACUAACCUGAUAACACUAGCGCAACAAUGGGUGGCCAAGGUAGUUAUUGACAAUGAAUUUGGAACACUACAAGCGAAGAAAGUAGACAUGACCAUGACACCAUUAGUCGUCUAUGAGGGGAGAAGAAGCAGAGAAGAAGAGAAAAAGAAAAGGUAAAAAUAUAUGUCAUUAAGGACAUUUUGGUCUUUUUAGCAUCUUAUCGGGGUGUACUUGAAAAUUAUAGGAAGGCAAAAGGUAAUGUGGCCUAUGGUUAGUCUUUUAUUUUAGGUAAUGGAUAAUGAAGUUUUUGUUUUGACUACUUUUUCAUGCACCUCCAUACCUUCUUGAGUCACCCCAUACCAAAUGUAAAAAUAUUUUUUUAUCCUUUUGUGCCACCCCCAUACAUAAUCUGGAAGAUGUUUUUGAAUCUGGAAGUUUUGUUUAGAUUUAUGAAAUUCAGAAGUUUUUUAUGGAUUUGAGAUAAUCUUAUGUAUUAUGUAAUCCGAAAGCUAAUCACACAUUUGAAAAAAUACUUCUGGAUUACACAAUCCAGAAGCUAAUCUCAAUCCAAAAAAGACUUUCAGAUUAUAUAAUCCAGAAGCUAAUCAAGCAUUUGAAAAAAAAGCUUUCAAAUUACAUAAUCUGGAAGCUAAUUACAAAAGAUUUUUGGAUUACAUAAUCUGAAAUAUUAAAGCAGGAUAUUUUUGAAAUACAAAAAAUAUAUGGGGUGACACAAGAAAGUAUGGAGGUGCACGAAAAAACAUUCUUUUCUUUUUGAACUUUCUUAAACUCCAGUCUUGGCCUUUCUUCUGGCUCUUCUUCUGAUCCUUUUGUUCUUGAGUUAAUUAUAUAAAAAAUGAAAAAAAAGCCCAGAUUCUCUUUCAGUCUUUCUUAAUCUUAAUCUAAUGAGUAUUAGAACAAAUUAUUGUUGAUCACCAUCAGAUGUACCAGAUUCUUAGAAAGUAAAAUAUAAGGUUAAUUAAAUAUCACAAAAAUGAUUUAAUAAGAUAGCUUUUACAUUUUAAAUAUAUAAUAUAAUUUAAUUAUAUCACUAGUUAAAAUGUGAUAUUUUCGAAAUAAAUAAUAUUUUGAUUAUUAUGCUUUUAAUAAUAAUAAAAAAAAGAGCUCAACGAUUCCUCCAUUUCUUUAAGCGUCUUCAGAGAAACUUAUAAAUAUAAUAAAUUUUCUUGAUGUUAAUAAAAUAAUUAUAAGAUUUUCUAUUUUUUCUUUCUUCAUUUCUAUAUUACAAUACAUUUGUAAACUAAUUAAAUAUCUGAUGAAAAGUAAAGGUACAAUUAAUAAAAGAAUAAUUAAUGUUGACCGUGAAAAAGAAACAAAGAGAAUAUAUAUGAGUAGGUGUAAAACAUUUUCUCUAUUAAAAGACCGAAGAAAUUAAUGUUUUUAUGCUUAUUUUUUUGUAUUAUACUAUAAAAAAUAAUCUAUGUCUUGUUAAAUUAAUGAAAUUACAUAAUUUUUACCAUGAAAAAUAAAAUUAUAAUUAAUGAAAACUAAUUAAUGUUAUCUUCUAAUUGAUGAAAGAGCAAUUAAUGUGGCCCUCCCAAGGGAUUAUCUUACCUGGCCAAGAAUUUGUGAAAAGUGAAGAAAGAACCUUUUUCCACUUUAACUUCAAAUAUUUUGAUCAAAAUAUUUUUUACAAUUUUCCAAAAUCUCUUUUCUGAAAUAUAUUUUUUAGAUUUUUUUUAAAUAUGUAUUUUUUAUUAUGGAAUUGCGUCAAUUGUUUUCGAAUGGGAUUGAGGCUGAGAACGAUUCAAGUUGCUCUUUUAUCUGUUCGGUUGGUUGGUCGAUCAAGUCUUUUCUCCUUCCUCUCAAAGCGAUCUUCUUAGUCUCCUCUUUUAACUCUACCUCUCUGUCUUCACAAGUCCAGACUCGGAUAGUACUUGCAAAAGGUACUCCGACGCUCAAGUUAGAAUUGAGUAUUCGACACUCGGUAUUCUGAGCACGGUAUAUGAUGUACCUGAUUCUUGGAUUUUGUGUCUAUUUAUAUGGUUAUUAUGAGCAUUUUCUCAUUAGAUCAGAUUAUAAAGUAAAAUCAUGUUUAAGGAUAUAUUACCUAAUAUUUAACUGUUGAUUAACCUCAUUAAUUAUGCUUAAAUGUGAUGAGGUCGACUUAUCGAGACAUAAUAUUCGUUGUAGUACCCUACCGUACAUCAAAAGAUAAAAUACAAUUAAAUCAUUGUGUGAUGAAUAUAUUUGUUUAUGAUACUAGACUCACAACCCCCGUUAGAAGGAUAUCUAGGCCAACUUGAUUAAAUGACUACAUUUGAAGAAUCUCUUUCUUUUGUCUUUUGUGGGAUUAGAUUCCUAGGAUUUUAUGUUAUGUCUUUUUCAGUUUUAUUAGGACAAAUGACUUUUUAAAGGUAUUAUAUGUCACACUAGACUAGGAGACAGAGUAUGUUAUUGGUUCUGUUACUUUUUAUCCUAAAAGUUGUUUUUUUUUUGUUUCUGUCAUAUCUCUUUCCCAAGCUCUUUAUUUCCUAGUUUUCUUUACGUUCUUCCUCAUCCCCGCUCCAUCACUGUAUCACACAAGGACUACAAUCUUAUUAAGGUGAAGGAUAUCGUGAGGGAAAUAGCUUUGAAACCGUUAGAUUGCUUCCAUUUUAAAUCAAUGGUGGAUAAAUUUCAGUUCUUUAUAUAUUUUUAUUUCCUUCUUCUUCUUCUUUUCCCAUGGGCAAGUUUGAAAGAAAUAUCUGACACAAGAAAGCAUAGUCAUUGUCUCUUAUUCAUAUUCAGUCUCUGGACAAGAUUCUCUCUUACACUUGAUUCAAGCUACGGACUUAAUAACCUUAUCAGCUUCAAAAAGCUCCAUGAACCUUAAAUCGAAGGCUUCAUGCUCAGUGAGACUCAACCGUUUUCCCUCCUCACCGUUGUGUGCAUAAAACCUCCCAAUAUCAAGACAAGUUGGUGUCCCAGUGAUGCAGAACACAAACUUGUACGCAAACGGAUGAUAUUUCUCAAUAUGAAAUUUGCCAGCAUAAGUUUGUUGCCCGGGAUGGCCUUCGGCACCACCAACUCCCACACAUGCCUUCUGGAUUGCUUCGUCCAUAAACACCAACCACUUGGAGGAUUCUGAACACUCUGGCUUCUCCACGAACUCGAUUUCCAGUUCGGUACCUACACUCAUGUUUCCAAAAAAUUAAAUCAGUAACCUAUGCAACACACUCACACUUAAACACGUGUAAUCUUAAAUUGAUAAGGUGUUGAUGAGUACCAGUGAAGAUGAUUCCAGAGCUGUCUCCAGGUAUGGUGAAUUUCACAGGAAUGCCGCGGAAGUUUGCAAAGGGAUGUUGCAAGACAGUUAGAGCGCAGGGUGAGUUCCCAGAUUGACCAAGUUUCAAUCCACCAGCACGAGGGCCACGGAUUGAUGGUAUGAUGUAGUAUGUGAGACCUGGGCUAAUGGGGUUCCCACUUAUGUCCACAACUUGCUCAACAUCUGAGAAAGCUAAGGGAAGGUUGGUGAGGAAAGCAAGGAGAGGGAGGAGGAAGGAGAGGGCAAGAACUGCGUUGGGUUUCAUGGUUGAUUUAGUGGAUGAUGGUGCUGUUGCAGAUGUUCUGCUUCCGUUGGGUUUCAUGGUUAUAUAGAAACAAAGAUGCUGCUAUUGCACCACGUGUUUGUUCUUAAGAAAAGAUAACGUUGUGCAUGGUUAGCUAUGUGGAAUUGAAUUUUGAUGACAGAUAAAAGAAAAAAUAACAAAAACGUUUUUUUCACAUCCUUUACCCACAUCUGAUGCUAUCAACGUGGCUGUUAGUCAUAUUAUUGGACUUCUUCUUUGGUCCUAUUUUUUCUUUGUGUAACGUUUUUUACUGGGUCUUAUUCUAUUAGUCCAUGCCUCUUUUAUAUUAUCUUUUCUUUGUAUCUUUUACACACAGAAACAAUAAUAUACAAUAUCAUAUUCUUUUUCUUGCUCUCUCUCCCCGUAUUCUUCACGUUUUGCUUUACGCUUUUCUUUUUCACCACUGUACACUUUCAUUCUCUUGGUGCCGUUGAAUUCUUCUUCAUCACAUUUCAGAAAUUAUAAUCGUAUUAUGGUAUCAGAGCUCUUCUUUUUGAAGAGCUCUGUUGUGCACUCUGAAAUUUCUUUCUCUUAAUUGUUUUCUUGUUUUCUUGUCCUAAUUUUCCUUUUUUUUGGUUUUCUCUUCAGGUAUGGCGGAAGGAGAUUCGACGCAACCGAGCCAAUUGGUGAAUAAUUUCCUUUAUCUACAUCCAAAUGAAAAUCCCGUUGCCCCCUUAGUUUCACCGGUGCUCGACUCUUCAAACUAUCAUUCUUGGAGUAGAUCAGUGGUGACGACGCUGAGUGCAAAGAACAAAGUGGAAUUCAUUCUUGGUUCACAUCCCUGCCCAGCCAAGAACGAUCCAACGUAUUCGGCUUGGCAAAGGUGUAACAACAUGGUUGUCUCUUGGUUAGUGCAUUCUGUCUCUACACCUAUUAGACAGAGUAUUAUAUGGAUGGAUAUGGCCAUUGAUGUCUGGACCGAUUUAAAAACUAGAUAUUCGCAGGGAGAUCUAUCUAGAAUUUCUGACUUGCAAUCUGAAGUAGUAUCUUUAAAUCAAGGAGAUUUGUCUGUUACAGAAUAUUUUACUAAACUUAGAAUCAUUUGGGAUGAGCUAGACAAUUUUAGACCCAAUCUUGUGUGUAUUUGUCAAACUAAAUGUACUUGUUAUGUUGCUUCGAUUAUUAGUCAAAGAAAAUGUGAGGAUCAAGUUAUGCAAUUCUUGCGUGGGUUAAAUGAACAAGUACCAUAACAUCAAGUCCCAUGUCCUUUUAAUGGAAUCCAUACCAUCUAUUCCCAAGAUUUUUUCUUUGGUGGCUCAGCAAGAACGUCAACUGGCUAACAACUUCUCUGUAACCAAUAUUAAUAGUGUUAGUUCCAGUCGUAAUAAUGCUCCUGGUGUUUGUGCUUUUUGUGGAAAAACUGGCCACACUGAGAAUGUGUGUUUCCGUAAAGUUGGUUUUCCUGGACAAGAUAAUAGGACUUAUAAAAAUAACAGAAAAAUGUGUACUCACUGUGGUAGAAAUGGUCAUGCGGUUGACGCUUGUUACAAAAAGCAUGGAUACCCUCCUGGGUACAAAUUCUACAAUGGUAAAACUGGUCAAAUUAAUACUAUUGUUACUACUGAUGAAGUUGUUUCUGAGCAUUCUCAAAAGAAACAGGAAAAUAGAGAUUUUCAUCUCACUGGACAACAAUAUCAAGUGUUGUCCGAACUGUUCAAGCAACAUUCCUGCAUCAAUCCAGCAAAUCCAACUCAUGUGAACCAGGUGGGAUCCUUCACUGCUGAUCUCACAAACAAAGCAACGGACCAAUCUCCCACGGGUAACAUUUAUGCUUCCAAUAGUAUAAAGAAAACUGGAAAUUACUGGAUUUUAGAUUUAGGGGCAACAGAUCAUGUUUGCACCUCUUUAUCUACUUUUAAUACAUAUAAAAGUAUAAAUCCUGUUCAAAUUAGUUUACCAAAUGGCCAAAAUAUUUUUGCUAAAAUUUCUGGUACGAUUGUUUUUAAUCUCAAAUUCUACCUUACUGAUGUCCUGUACAUUCCCCAAUUUGCUUUUAAUUUGAUUUCCACCUCUAAAUUGUGUUCUAAUCUCAACUGCAAUUUAAUUUUUUCAUCCAUAAACUGUGUGAUACAGGACACUCAAACCAAAGAGAGGAUUGGUUUAGUUGAUGCUAGAGCUGGAUUGUAUGUUUUUGAACAUUCUACUUUUAGAAAUAUUGUUGCACCUCAUAUUAUUCCUGCUUUACAUUGUACUGUUAAGGACAUACAUUUGUGGCAUCAUAGAAUGGGACAUGUUUCAAAUGAAAGAUUGAUGGUUUUGAGCACUAAAUACCCUUAUAUUUCUGAUAAGAAGCUUGAUGUUUGUGAUACUUGUCAUCUUGCUAAACAGAAAAAGCUUCCUUUUACUUUAAGCAAUUCCUGUUCUUCAAAAUCUUUUGAGUUGAUUUACAUUGAUAUUUGGGGUCCUUGUUCUGUUAUUUCUAUGCAAGGUUUCCGGUAUUUUUUAACUAUUGUGGAUGAUUUCUCUCGCUUUACGUGGACCAUUUUUUUACGCAAUAAAUCUGAAGUUCGUAAUCAUAUUGUCAGUUUUGUUGCUUAUAUUGAAAACCACUUUAAAACUACUAUUCAAACUAUUAGAACUGAUAAUGGUGCUGAAUUUGCUAUGAAAGAUUUUUUUUCUACUAAAGGUAUAAUUCACCAAACCACCUGUGUUGAAACCCCCUGAACAAAAUGACAUUGUUGAACGCAAGCAUCAACAUCUUUUAAAUGUGACUCGUGCAUUAGUUUUUCAAGCUCAUCUACCUCAUUUGUUUUGGAACUUUGUUGUGCAGCAUGCAACUUUCUUAAUUAUCUGUACUCCUACUCCCUUUUACAGAAUUUUUCCCCUUAUGAAAAACUAAAUGGUAAUCUUUGUGAUCUUUCAAAUUUACGUGUCUUUGGAUGUUUAUGCUACUCUAACACUCUCACUUCACAUAGAAAGAAAUUAGAUGCACGUUCUGUUCAUGGUGUUUUCCUUGGUUUCCAGCACCACACCAAAGGCUAUAUUUUUCUCAAUCUUAAAAAUCACAAAAUUGAGAUUUCAAGACAUGUUAUUUUUCAUGAAACUAAUUUUCCAUAUCAAUUGACUACUGAUGUUCAACAGAAUCCAAAUAAUCUGUCUUUACCUCUACCUCCCAAUUAUGAUUCAAAAUGUGAUCUCUCUUUUUCUACUACACCUUAUACUGUUGAAACUACUACCACCACAAAUGUUGAAAAUGUUGUUGAUACUCCCCCUCGGCGUUCAACAAGAUUAAGGAGACCUCCAGCUUAUUUAGAAGAUUUUCAAACUGAUUUGCCAGCUAUACACAAUGUAAGUUCUAACUAUCCUCUUCGAAAUUAUGUUUCAUACCAUGCUUUAUCACCUGGUUUUAAGCAUAUUAUUCUUUCUAUUUCAUCUCAUAUGGAGCCACGCAACUAUAAUGAAGCCUCUCAACAAACCUUCUAGCAGUUAGCAAUGCAUGCUGAAUUAGAUGAUCUUGACGUCAAUCAAACAUGGCAAAUUACUUCCCUUCCACCUGGUAAGAAGACUAUUGGUUGUAGAUGGAUUUAUAAAAUUAAAUAUAAAUCAGAUGGGACUGUAGACCGUUACAAGGCACGCUUGGUUGCCAAAGGUUACACCCAAUUGGAAGGUCUUGAUUUCUUGGAUACAUUUGCACCAGUUGCAAAAUUAACUACUCUUCGUCUCCUUCUUGCUCUUGCUGCUGCAUAUAACUGGUCUCUUACACAAUUGGAUGUUAAUAAUGCAUUCCUACAUGGAGACUUGCAUGAAGAGGUUUACAUGCAGCCUCCCCCUGGGCUUCUUCUUCCUAACAAUAGUGUUUGUAAACUUCAGCGGUCUCUUUAUGGCCUUAAGCAAGCUGGAAGACAAUGGUAUGAAAAGCUGUCAACUUUUUUAAUUUCACAAAACUACAUUUUAUCUUCAGCUGAUCAUUCUUUAUUUUUAAAACGUCAUGACACUAACAUUACUAUUAUUCUUGUUUAUGUGGAUGAUAUUGUGCUUAUUGGGAAUGAUCGUGCUGAGAUUCUUAACAUAACCAACAUGCUGGACCAGACCUUUAAGAUCAAGAAUUUGGGUGAUCUCACCUACUUUUUAGGCCUCGAGGUAGCCCGCAACAGUUCUGGAAGUCAUCUUGGUCAACGAAAAUACACUAUAGAUCUUCUUCAUGAAACGGGAAUGCAAGAUUGUGUACCUAUGCCUACACCUAUGACGCAUUCUUCCCGCCUCUCAUCAAUUGAAGGUAUUCCUCUCAAUGAAGACGAAACCUCAGCAUACUGCAGACUUAUUGGGCGCUUAAUCUACCUUACAAACACUAGACCUGACAUUGCCUUCAGUGUCAACAAUCUUAGCCAAUCUGUCUCUGCACCCACCAAGUUUCAUCAACAAGCUGCUUUCAGAAUAUUAAGGUAUCUCAAAAGCAACCCUAGUUUUGGUAUUUUUCUUUCUAAUAGUAGUCCUAUCCAUUUAAAAGCUUAUAGUGACUCAGAUUGGGCCACUUGUCCUGAUACUCGAAAAUCUAUAACUGGUUUUUUUGUUUUUUUGGGAGAGUCUCUAAUCUCCUGGAAAUCAAAGAAGCAACAAACAAUUUCUAAGAGCUCCUCUGAAGCAGAAUAUAGAGCCCUAGAAGCUACUACUUGUGAGCUUCAGUGGUUAACCUACAUGCUUCAAGACCUUGGUCUCACCUUCACUUCACCAGCCACCCUCUACUGCGAUAAUCAAUCAGCCAUUCAAAUCGCAUCCAACCAGGUUUUCCACGAGAGAACCAAACACAUAGAGAUCGAUUGUCAUAUUGUCAGAGAAAAACUUAAUACCGGUCUCCUCAAAUUGCUUCCUAUAUCUUGUGCCUUGCAAACUGCAGAUAUUCUUACUAAACCCCUGGCACCUGCUGUUUUCAAGAACCUUUAGUCCAAGCUGGGAAUGAAGGAUAUAUAUUCCCAGCUUGAGGGAGGGUGUUAGUGAUAUUAUUGGGCUUCUUCUUGGGCCCUAUUUUUUCUUUGUGUAACGCUUUUCUCUGGACCUUAUUCUGUUAGCCCAUGCCUCUUUUAUAUUACCUUUUAUUUGUACCUUUUACACACAGAAACAAUAAUAUACUAUAUCUGAUUCUUUUUCUUGCUCUCUCUCCCCGUAUUCUUCACAUUUUGCUUUACGCUUUUCUUUCUCACCACGGCACACUUUCAUUCUCUUGGUGCCGCUGAAUUCUUCUUCAUCACAUUUCAGAAAUUAUAAUCGUAUUAGUGGCAAAAAAUAUACAAAAACGUUUUGUUCACACCUUCUACACACAUUUGAUGCUAUCAACAUGACAAAAAAUAUGACGUGGCAAAAACAAUAAUGAUUUCAGAAGCACGUCUGAGACAGCUUCUCUGAACUCUAGUCCACCACCACCGAAGACUCCUCCGGUGACACUCCUCUCCAUAUCCUGGCUCCGUCACCUCCUCGACGAGUUCCUCUACUGCCAGACCGAGUUGAAAGUUGUUGUUCUCAUGGGUCGCGACCCCUCAGAUUGCCAAGCGAGAUCGUCAUUGUCGCACUCGAUGUGACGACGCACCGAGAACAACUCUGUCGCUAACAGCAAGGACUGCGUGCGAUCGUUGUCGUGGACGAUGGUGCGUAACUGGUCGGCGUCUCAACAGAUCCACACGACUCUCAGAACACUGCCAUUUGAUGAUUCGACUGCCAGAAAGCCCUUUGCCGUGGGGAUCGAAAGCAAAACUCUGAAUUUGGAUUUUAUAUUAUAUCGGUUAUUACACUUGUCGAUGAACACCAGAUGUAACAGAUUCUUAGAAAUUAAAAUUUAAGGUUAAUUAAAUAUCACAAAACUGAUUUAAUAAGAUAGCUUUUACAUUUUAAUUAUAUAAUAUACUUUAAUUAUAUCACUAGUUAAAAUGUGAUAUUUUCGAUAUAAAUCACAAUUUAUUGAAUUGUAAUAUUUAGAUUAUUAUACUUUAACGAUUCCUCCAUUUCUUUAACGUCUUCAGAGAAACUUAUAAAUAUAAUAAUUUUUCUUGAUGUUAAUAAAAAAUUAUAAGAUUUUCUAUUUUUGUCUUUCUUCAUUUCUAUAUUACAAUAAAUUUGUAAACUAAUUAAAUAUCUGAUGAAAAGUAAAGGUACAAUUAAUAAAAGAAUAGUUAAUGUUGACCGUGAUAAAGAAACAAAGAGAAUAUAUAUGAGUAGGUGUAAAACAUUUUCUCUAAAAGACCGAAGAAAUUAAUGUUUUUAUGCUUAUUUUUUGUAUUAUACGAUAAAAAAAUAAUCUAUGUCUUGUUAAAUUAAUUAAAUUACAUAAUUUUUACCAUGAAAAAUAAAUUUUUAAUUAAUGAAAAGUAAUUAAUGUUAUUUUCUAAUUGAUGAAAGAGCAAUUAAUGUGGCCCUCCCAAGGGAAUAUCUUACCUGGCAGAAUUUGUGAAACUCAAUGGCUUCAAAUAAUAGGAAGUGAAGAAAUAACCUUUUUCUACCUUAACUUCAAAGUUUUAUUCUUUUGGGUGCUAGCCUAUGCAAACAUGAUGUGACCUAUUUUCCAGCAAUAACUUCAACAAAUUUAGACAUACUAAUCCCAAAUGAUCAAAAUAUUUUUUAUAAUUUUCCAAAAUCUCUUUUCUGAAAUAUAUUUCUAAAUUUUAUUUUUUAGAUUUUUUUAGAAUAUAUAUUUUUAUUAUAAAUUGCUAUGAAGUUAUGGAGUGAACAAUUUACCAUGCAUCUGUCAAGGGAAAACCAGCAUUAAAUUUUUUGGGACCAAUUUGUCUAUUAAUUUUCAGAUUUUUCUUGGUAACCAAGGCCACCGUCCAUGCUAUAUCCACUUCAAUUAUACUGCUUCAGAAUUUCUUGGUUCAGAAAGGUCUACAACAUCAUUGCAUCAAUCAUCAUUAAUAACAUAGUCCUUCCACCUUAAAUACAAGUGCAAAAAUACAAUUAUCACAAUAAAUUAUUAAAUCGAUCGGUUAAAUAAAAAUUGAUGUAAAGAAAGCAUCACGUAGUAAUACUACAAUAAAUUAUUAAAUCGAUCGGUUAAAUAAAAAUUGAUAUAAAGAAAGCAUCAGGUAGUAAUACUUUUGUAAUUUCUGUUGUAGAUAUUAUAUCGGUUGUGAUGUAAUAGGUUCAAAAUUACAUCCUUACACAUUAAACAGAUAUUUUUUUUCAAUUUCUACCAUAGAUAUUAUAUCAUUUGUACUUACAACCGAUGUAAUAAGCACAUAUAACAUCGGUUGCAUGAGAAAAUCGGAAUCGAUGUUAUAUGUGUUGUUUUAAAAUUUUAGGUUUUGUGUUUUAACGUUCACUUUUCUCUUGCGCGCUUGUUUGCGUUCUCUUCUUCCUCAUUGCGCCGCAUACUCACGAUUCUUUAUAUUUUCAUUUUUGAUUUGGUUCUUUGGAUCUUCGGUGACGUUGGCCGAGUAGUGGGUGGUGCAAGACAUUAACCGCUUCUUCUGCUUUGUUGUGUCGUGUACAAUUUACAAUUGUAGCACUUUUCAUUUUCAUUUUUGGGGUUGGGUUCUUUGGAACACUGGUGACGUUGAUCGUGGUGGGCAGUCCCAGAGUUUUGUUGUUGUUGGUUGGGGUUUGGUUUUCUUCUUCUAGUGUUCUCUCUCACCAUGCCACGUUGUAUUUUUUUCAUUUGUUGGGUUUGGUUUUUUAGACUGAAGGGGAGCUUGAAUUUUUUGUUUUGUCGUUGCUGAUUACUCUUUCCAUUGCCUCAUUUUUUAGGCAAUGGAGGUGUACGCAUCCAUGUGCUCAUCCAGAUCGAUCGUGUCAUCAUAACGAUCCCUAUUGAAGUCUUUCCACUUAUCUGGUAGUGGAACCCCGAUUAUGGAAUCGGUAAAAGGGUGUUGACGGACCGAGUCCAGGGUACCGGUCGUGAAAUCGACUUAUUCGGAUAGGACUCGUCGUCGACCUCUUGGGUGUGACUUUUAUCCUUCGACUCCUCUACAGUCUUGGGGUCGGUGGGGGUGGUGAAGGACCUUCCGACAAGAUUGGUCAGUCCAAUAGACGGUCCCCCCUCAACGAACUUCAUUUUCAUCUCUUCGUUCUCCUUUCGGAGAGCCAGGAUUUCCUCCUCAUUCUUCCGAGUGAUCUCUUCAUUCCUUCUCUUCAUUUCAACCAUCUCUCUCUGUAGAGACAUGAACAAUGUCAUCUGCUCAGCUUCGGACAUUCUUUUACUAGCCAUGCUUCGGGUUGAUACCAUCUACUUUUCUCUUUACGUUAUUUCUCUCGGUCUCACGAUGGACGUCAAUUGUUUUCGAAUGGGGUUGGGGCUGAGAACGAUUCAAGCUGCUCUUCUAUCUACUCGAUCAGUCGGUCAAGUCUUUCCUCCUUCCUCUCAAAGCGAUCUUCUCACUCUCCUCUUUUAGCUCUACCUCUCGGUCUCCACAAGUCCAAACUCGGAUAGUACCUGCAAAAGGUACUUCGACGCUCAAGUUAGAAUUGAGUAUUCAACACUCGGUAUUCUGAGCACAGUAUAUGAUAGACCUGAUUCUUGCACUACAAGAAAAUCAUGAAAUAGAAACCAAUUUUUAGAGACCAAAAUAAUUAGUUACAAUAUGAACUAAAAUAGAGACCAUUUUAGAAACUAACAAAAAAAUUGGUUUCUAAAUUAGUUUCUAUUAUUUUCUAUUAUUGUUAAAUAGUUUCUAAAUUGGUAUCUAAUUAGCAACUAAGGUUUUAGAUACCAAUUAUUUAGUUUCUAAAUUUAGUCUCUAAAACCUUGGUUGCUAAUUAGAUACCAAUUUAGAAACUAUUUAACAAUAAUAGAAAAUAAUAGAAAAUAAUAGAAACUAAUUUAGAAACCAAAUUUCUUUUUAGUUUCUAAAAUGGUCUCUAAUUUAGUUACUAUUGCAACUAAUUAUUUUGGUCUCUAAAAAUUGGUUUCUAUUUCAUGAUUUUCUUGUAGUGUUGGAUUUUGUCUCUAUUUAUAUGGUUAUUAUGGGCCUUUUCUCACUGAGCCAUAUUAUAAAGUUGAGUCAUAUUUAGAAAUACAUUAUCUAGUGUUUAAUUGUUGAUUAGCCUUAUUAAUCAUGCUUAAGCGUGAUGGUUUUUGUGAUUUCGAUCGACUUGGAGAGACAUGAUGUACCCAUCAACAGAUAAAAUACAAUUAAAUUAUUGAGUGAUGAAUAUAUUUGUUUAUGAUAUGAGGGUCACGAUGAUACUCGACUCAACCACAAUACCUAUUAGAAGGAUAGGAUAUAUAGGCCAAUUUGAUUAAAUGAGUACAUGUAGAAGAAUGUUUUUCUUUUGUCUUUUGUGGGGAUUGGAUUUUUUUUUUUAGGAUUUUAUGUUAUGUCUUUUUAGUUCUAGUACCACAAAUGACUUUUCAAAGGAUAUUAUAUAUCACCCUAGACUAGGAGAGAGGAGAGAGGGCGUAUGUUAUUGGUUCUGUUACUGUCAUAUCUUUCCCAGCUCUAUCUUUCCUAGUUUUCUUUACGUUCUUACUCAUCCUGCUCCAUGACUGUAUCACUCGAGGACUACAACCUUAUUAAGGUGAAGGAUAGGGUGAGGGGAAUUGCUUUGAAACCGUUAGAUUGCUUCCAUUUUAAAUCAAUGGUGGAUAAAUUUCAGUUCUUUAUAUAUUUUUAUUUCCUUUUUCUUCUUCUUCUCCCAUGGGCAAGUUUGAAAGAAAUAUCUGACACAAGAAGGCAUAGUCAUUGUCUCUUAUUCAUAUUCAGUCUCUGGACAAGAUUCUCUCUUACACUUGAUUCAAGCUACGGACUUAAUAACCUUAUCAGCUUCAAAAGCCUCCACGAACCCUAAAUUGAAGCCUUCAUGCUCAGUGAGACUCAACCGUUUUCCCUCCUCACCGUUGUGUGCAUUAAACCUCCCAAUAUCCAGACAAGUUGGUGUCCCAGUGAUGCAGAACACAAGCUUGUACGAAAACUGAUAAUAUUUCUGAAUAUGAAAUUUGCCAGCAUAAGUUUGUUGCCCGGGAUGGCCUUCGGCACCACCAACUCCCACACAUGCCUUCUGGAUUGCUUCGUCCAGAAACACCAACCACUUUGAGGAUUCUGAACACUCUGGCUUCUCCACGAACUCGAUUUCCAGUUCGGUACCUACACUCAUGUUUCCAAAAAUUUAAAUCAGUAACCUAUGCAACACACUCACACUUAAACACGUGUAAUCUUAAAUUGAUAAGGUGUUGAUGAGUACCAGUGAAGAUGAUUCCAGAGCUGUCUCCAGGUAUGGUGAAUUUCACAGGAAUGCCGCGGAAGUUUGCAAAGGGAUCUUGCAAGACAGUUAGAGCGCAUUGUGAGUUCCCAGUUUGGCCAAGUUUCAAUCCACCACCACCAGGGCCACGCAUUGUUGGUAUGAUGUAGUAUGUGAGACCUGGGCUAAUGGGUUUCCCAUUUAUGUCCAGAACUUGCUCACCAUCUGCGAAAGCCGAGGGAAGGUUGGUGAGGAAAGCAAGGAGAGGGAGGAGGAAGGAGAGGGCAAGAACUGCGGUGGCUUUCAUGGUUGAUUUAGUGGAUGAUGGUGCUGUUGCAGAUGUUCUGCUUCCGUUGUGGUGGAUUGGUUAU